ACCAUUUGUGGUCGAAUGGUAAGAACACUUACCUUUCACCUUGGAGUCCCGGGUUCGAUCCCCGGUGGAGGAA
rnacentral:tRNA from 1 species